rfam:Aedes aegypti strain Liverpool supercont1.38 genomic scaffold, whole genome shotgun sequence.
CAAUCGGCCCUUUUCAGAGCCAACAAAUUAUUAUUAUUAUUAUUAU